rnacentral:rRNA from 1 species
UUAAGCGACUAAGCGUACACGGUGGAUGCCCUGGCAGUCAGAGGCGAUGAAGGACGUGCUAAUCUGCGAAAAGCGUCGGUAAGGUGAUAUGAACCGUUAUAACCGGCGAUGUCCGAAUGGGGAAACCCAGUGCAAUUCGUUGCACUAUCGUUAACUGAAUACAUAGGUUAACGAGGCGAACCGGGGGAACUGAAACAUCUAAGUACCCCGAGGAAAAGAAAUCAACCGAGAUUCCCCCAGUAGCGGCGAGCGAACGGGGAGCAGCCCAGAGUCUGAAUCAGCUUGUGUGUUAGUGGAACGGUCUGGAAAGUCCGACGGUACAGGGUGAUAGUCCCGUACACCAAAAUGCACAGGCUGUGAACUCGAAGAGUAGGGCGGGACACGUGGUAUCCUGUCUGAAUAUGGGGGGACCAUCCUCCAAGGCUAAAUACUCCUGACUGACCGAUAGUGAACCAGUACCGUGAGGGAAAGGCGAAAAGAACCCCGGCGAGGGGAGUGAAAAAGAACCUGAAACCGUGUACGUACAAGCAGUGGGAGCACCUUCGGGUGUGACUGCGUACCUUUUGUAUAAUGGGUCAGCGACUUAUAUUCUGUAGCAAGGUUAACCGUAUAGGGGAGCCGCAGGGAAACCGAGUCUUAACUGGGCGUUAAGUUGCAGGGUAUAGACCCGAAACCCGGUGAUCUAGCCAUGGGCAGGUUGAAGGUUGGGUAACACUAACUGGAGGACCGAACCGACUAAUGUUGAAAAAUUAGCGGAUGACUUGUGGCUGGGGGUGAAAGGCCAAUCAAACCGGGAGAUAGCUGGUUCUCCCCGAAAGCUAUUUAGGUAGCGCCUCGUGAACUCAUCUUCGGGGGUAGAGCACUGUUUCGGCUAGGGGGUCAUCCCGACUUACCAACCCGAUGCAAACUACGAAUACCGAAGAAUGUUAUCACGGGAGACACACGGCGGGUGCUAACGUCCGUCGUGAAGAGGGAAACAACCCAGACCGCCAGCUAAGGUCCCAAAGUCAUGGUUAAGUGGGAAACGAUGUGGGAAGGCACAGACAGCCAGGAUGUUGGCUUAGAAGCAGCCAUCAUUUAAAGAAAGCGUAAUAGCUCACUGGUCGAGUCGGCCUGCGCGGAAGAUGUAACGGGCUAAACCAUGCACCGAAGCUGCGGCAGCGACACUAUGUGUUGUUGGGUAGGGGAGCGUUCUGUAAGCCUGCGAAGGUGUGCUGUGAGGCAUGCUGGAGGUAUCAGAAGUGCGAAUGCUGACAUAAGUAACGAUAAAGCGGGUGAAAAGCCCGCUCGCCGGAAGACCAAGGGUUCCUGUCCAACGUUAAUCGGGGCAGGGUGAGUCGACCCCUAAGGCGAGGCCGAAAGGCGUAGUCGAUGGGAAACAGGUUAAUAUUCCUGUACUUGGUGUUACUGCGAAGGGGGGACGGAGAAGGCUAUGUUAGCCGGGCGACGGUUGUCCCGGUUUAAGCAUGUAGGCUGAUUGUCCAGGCAAAUCCGGAUAAUCAAGGCUGAGGUGUGAUGACGAGGCACUACGGUGCUGAAGUAACAAAUGCCCUGCUUCCAGGAAAAGCCUCUAAGCAUCAGGUAACAUCAAAUCGUACCCCAAACCGACACAGGUGGUCAGGUAGAGAAUACCAAGGCGCUUGAGAGAACUCGGGUGAAGGAACUAGGCAAAAUGGUGCCGUAACUUCGGGAGAAGGCACGCUGGUGUGUAGGUGAAGUCCCUGCGGAUGGAGCUGAGACCAGUCGAAGAUACCAGCUGGCUGCAACUGUUUAUUAAAAACACAGCACUGUGCAAACACGAAAGUGGACGUAUACGGUGUGACGCCUGCCCGGUGCCGGAAGGUUAAUUGAUGGGGUUAUCCGUAAGGAGAAGCUCUUGAUCGAAGCCCCGGUAAACGGCGGCCGUAACUAUAACGGUCCUAAGGUAGCGAAAUUCCUUGUCGGGUAAGUUCCGACCUGCACGAAUGGCGUAAUGAUGGCCAGGCUGUCUCCACCCGAGACUCAGUGAAAUUGAACUCGCUGUGAAGAUGCAGUGUACCCGCGGCAAGACGGAAAGACCCCGUGAACCUUUACUAUAGCUUGACACUGAACAUUGAGCCUUGAUGUGUAGGAUAGGUGGGAGGCUUUGAAGCGUGGACGCCAGUCUGCGUGGAGCCAACCUUGAAAUACCACCCUUUAAUGUUUGAUGUUCUAACGUUGGCCCCUGACCGGGGUUGCGGACAGUGUCUGGUGGGUAGUUUGACUGGGGCGGUCUCCUCCCAAAGCGUAACGGAGGAGCACGAAGGUUAGCUAAUCCGGUCGGACAUCAGGAGGUUAGUGCAAUGGCAUAAGCUAGCUUGACUGCGAGCGUGACGGCGCGAGCAGGUGCGAAAGCAGGUCAUAGUGAUCCGGUGGUUCUGAAUGGAAGGGCCAUCGCUCAACGGAUAAAAGGUACUCCGGGGAUAACAGGCUGAUACCGCCCAAGAGUUCAUAUCGACGGCGGUGUUUGGCACCUCGAUGUCGGCUCAUCACAUCCUGGGGCUGAAGUAGGUCCCAAGGGUAUGGCUGUUCGCCAUUUAAAGUGGUACGCGAGCUGGGUUUAGAACGUCGUGAGACAGUUCGGUCCCUAUCUGCCGUGGGCGCUGGAGAAUUGAGGGGGGCUGCUCCUAGUACGAGAGGACCGGAGUGGACGCAUCACUGGUGUUCGGGUUGUCAUGCCAAUGGCACUGCCCGGUAGCUAAAUGCGGAAGAGAUAAGUGCUGAAAGCAUCUAAGCACGAAACUUGCCCCGAGAUGAGUUCUCCCUGAGACUUUAAGUCUCCUGAAGGAACGUUAAAGACGAUGACGUUGAUAGGCCGGGUGUGUAAGCGCAGCGAUGCGUUGAGCUAACCGGUACUAAUGAACCGUGAGGCUUAACCU